GACGAACGCUGGCGGCGUGCUUAACACAUGCAAGUCGAACGGAAAGGCCUGCUUUCCCUUGUGGAUUGCGGGUACUCGAGUGGCGAACGGGUGAGUACCACGUGAGUGAUCUUCCCCCAACUUGGGUAUAAGCCUGGGAAACUGGGUCUAAUUCCCGAUAGGACUGCAGGGUGGUGCCUGUGGUGGAACACGAUUUUCUAGUGGUUGCGGAUGAGCUCGCGGCCUAUCAGCUUGUUGGUGGGGUAAUGGCCUACCAAGGCGGGGACGGGGAGCCGGCCUGAGAGGGUGGACGGCCACAUUGGGACUGGGACACGGUCCAGACGCCUAGGGGAGGCAGGAGUGGGGAAGAUUGCACAAGGGGCGGAAGCCUGAUGCAGCGACGCGGCGUGGGGGAUGACGGCCUUCGGGUGGUAAACUCCUUUCGACCGCGAGGAAGCCACCUGGUUGGAAGGGUGGUGACGGUAGUGGUAGAAGAAGCACCGGCUAACUACGUG
rnacentral:rRNA from 1 species